ACGUAGCUUGCUACCGGACCUAGCGGCGGACGGGUGAGUAAUGCUUAGGAAUCUGCCUAUUAGUGGGGGACAACAUCUCGAAAGGGAUGCUAAUACCGCAUACGUCCUACGGGAGAAAGCAGGGGAUCUUCGGACCUUGCGCUAAUAGAUGAGCCUAAGUCGGAUUAGCUAGUUGGUGGGGUAAAGGCCUACCAAGGCGACGAUCUGUAGCGGGUCUGAGAGGAUGAUCCGCCACACUGGGACUGAGACACGGCCCAGACUCCUACGGGAGGCAGCAGUGGGGAAUAUUGGACAAUGGGGGGAACCCUGAUCCAGCCAUGCCGCGUGUGUGAAGAAGGCCUUAUGGUUGUAAAGCACUAAAAGCGAGGAGGAGGCUACUUUAGUUAAUACCUAGAGAUAGUGGACGUUACUCGCAGAAUAAGCACCGGCUAACUCUGUGCCAGCAGCCGCGGUAAUACAGAGGGUGCGAGCGUUAAUCGGAUUUACUGGGCGUAAAGCGUGCGUAGGCGGCUUAUUAAGUCGGAUGUGAAAUCCCGAGCUUAACUUGGGAAUUGCAUUCGAUACUGGUGAGCUAGAGUAUGGGAGAGGAUGGUAGAAUUCCAGGUGUAGCGGUGAAAUGCGUAGAGAUCUGGAGGAAUACCGAUGGCGAAGGCAGCCAUCUGGCCUAAUACUGACGCUGAGGUACGAAAGCAUGGGGAGCAAACAGGAUUAGAUACCCUGGUAGUCCAUGCCGUAAACGAUGUCUACUAGCCGUUGGGCCUUUGAGGCUUUAGUGGCGCAGCUAACGCGAUAAGUAGACCGCCUGGGGAGUACGGUCGCAAGACUAAAACUCAAAUGAAUUGACGGGGGCCCGCACAAGCGGUGGAGCAUGUGUUUUAAUUCGAUGCAACGCGAAGAACCUUACCUGGCCUUGACA
rnacentral:rRNA from 1 species